GUUGAGUAUAAACACAAUGGUCGAUUAUUGGAAUAAUAUUUGACACACAAAUGAAAUAUGGACACCAUGGCUACUAACAGAAACUGUGAUCGCUGCCAGCUGAAUGGAAAAUCAACACUAGGAAUAAUGAAAUGUAACGAAUGUGAAGAAGUAUAUUGCAUGGAUUGUGUAAAAUCACACCCGUCACUUAAAACCUUUACAUCUCAUCAAUUGAAAUCUAUCAGUAAGCAGGAUAGAUUAACAGAUAGUGACACUGGUAAUGAUCCGAUCAAUGGUGUUAGUGAUAUUUUACACAGACUUAAACAGAUGGGAGAAGACCAUGAAACACAAGUGUUCAGACAUAAAAUAAAAGAACAAUGUAUCGCUGAAAAAAUUUCAAGAACUAAAUUUCAGCUUCUUAGCCAGUUAAACAAAUUGGAGCCAAAUACAACACUUAUUAGUGGCCAUGAAGAUAGAAUUGAGCACAUGAAAAAUGAAUUAAAACAGUGAAAUACAAUUAGAGAACUUAAGGUAUUUGAAGAAGAAUAUUUUACAAUCAGUUCUGUAAACUGAAUUGUAUGCUUUGUAAGAAUUCAUAUUAUUAAAGAAUAUUGAUGUAAAA